rnacentral:rRNA from 1 species
AGAGUUUGAUCCUGGCUCAGAACGAACGCUGGCGGCAGGCCUAACACAUGCAAGUCGAGCGCCCAGCAAUGGGAGCGGCGGACGGGGUGAGUAACACGUGGGAAUAUGCCCUUUGGUACGGGACAACUCAGGGAAACUUGAGCUAAUACCGUAUGUGCCGGUAACGGGAAAGAUUUAUCGCCAAAGGAAUAGCCCGCGUCCGAUUAGCUAGUUGGUGAGGUAACGGCCCACCAAGGCACCGAUCGGUAGCUGGUUUGAGAGAACGACCAGCCACACUGGGACUGAGACACGGCCCAGACUCCUACGGGAGGCAGCAGUGGGGAAUCUUGGACAAUGGGGGAAACCCUGAUCCAGCCAUGCCGCGCGAGUGAUGAAGGCCUUCGGGUUGUAAAACUCUUUCGACGGGGACGAUAAUGACGGUACCCGUAGAAGAAGCUCCGGCUAACUUCGUGCCAGCAGCCGCGGUAAUACGAAGGGGGCUAGCGUUGUUCGGAAUUACUGGGCGUAAAGCGCGCGCAGGCGGCCUUUCAAGUCAGGGGUGAAAGCCCGGAGCUCAACUCCGGAAUUGCCUUUGAAACUGUAAGGCUUGAGUACGGGAGAGGUGAGUGGAAUUCCCAGUGUAGAGGUGAAAUUCGUAGAUAUUGGGAAGAACACCGGUGGCGAAGGCGGCUCACUGGCCCGUUACUGACGCUCAGGCGCGACAGCGUGGGGAUCAAACAGGAUUAGAUACCCUCGUAGUCC